rnacentral:rRNA from 1 species
UAGGUUACCUUAAUUCAACAUCGAGGUGAUAAACUUUUUCUUCGAUAUGAACUCUAAGAAAAUAUUAUCCUGUUAUCCCUAAAGUAGCUUUUAUUUAUUAAUCAUUAUUUCUUUUUUAAGAUAAUAAUGGGUCAUUAUACCCUACUUUGUAACUGUUAAAUUAAUUAAUUAAACAGUAAAUUAAUUUUUUUUAUUAAUUUAGUGUGUCUCUGUUUAUUUUUAGAGAUCAUCGCCCCAAUGAAACUAGCCUUUCUUUAGUAAUUUUUUUUUUAUUUUUAAAUAUAAUUAUAUAAAGAAUUGUAGUUAAGCUUUAUAGGGUCUUUUCGUCUUACAAUUUUACAUAGCAUCUUAACUAUGAUUUAAAUUUUUUUUUUAUUUCUAUAAGACAGAGGAAUUUUCGUUUAACCAUUCAUACUAUCCACCAAUUAAGUGGCGAAUUAUUAUGCUACAUUCAUACAGUCAUAGUUACUGCAGCCAUUUAGUUUUUUAUUUUUUUGAUUUAUGAAAAUUUUUUUUAUAACCAUUGGGC